AACGAACGCUGGCGGCAUGCCUAACACAUGCAAGUCGAACGAGACCUUCGGGUCUAGUGGCGCACGGGUGCGUAACGCGUGGGAACCUGCCCUUAGGUUCGGAAUAACUCCCCGAAAGGGGUGCUAAUACCGGAUAAUGUCUUCGGACCAAAGAUUUAUCGCCUUUGGAUGGGCCCGCGUUGGAUUAGCUAGUUGGUAGGGUAAAAGCCUACCAAGGCGACGAUCCAUAGCUGGUCUGAGAGGAUGAUCAGCCACACUGGGACUGAGACACGGCCCAGACUCCUACGGGAGGCAGCAGUGGGGAAUAUUGGACAAUGGGCGAAAGCCUGGUCCAGCCAUGCCGCGUGAGUGAUGAAGGCCUUAGGGUUGUAAAGCUCUUUUACCCGGGAUGAUAAUGACAGUACCGGGAGAAUAAGCUCCGGCUAACUCCGUG
rnacentral:rRNA from 1 species